GACCGACGGGAGCUUGCUCCCUUAGGUCAGCGGCGGACGGGUGAGUAACACGUGGGUAACCUGCCUGUAAGACUGGGAUAACUCCGGGAAACCGGGGCUAAUACCGGAUGCUUGAUUGAACCGCAUGGUUCAAUCAUAAAAGGUGGCUUUUAGCUACCACUUACAGAUGGACCCGCGGCGCAUUAGCUAGUUGGUGAGGUAACGGCUCACCAAGGCGACGAUGCGUAGCCGACCUGAGAGGGUGAUCGGCCACACUGGGACUGAGACACGGCCCAG
rnacentral:rRNA from 1 species